GGGAAGAGGCCGCCUGAAGACAGAGGCUGAGGUAUGAACUAUUCCGCCACCAGCUGAGGAAUGCUGGGCCGCCAGAAGCUGGAAAAGACAGGAGGAUUCUUCCACACAUCCUCAGAGGAAGCAGGGCCCUUCCAGGCCUUGAUUCCAGGCAUCCAGCCUCCGCAACCGGAGACAAUCCAUUCCUGCUGUUUUCAGCCACCUGGUUUGUGUUAUCUUACUGCGGCAGCCCUGGGACACUGAUAACAUCUGAAUGAGAAAUGAUCGCAUUUAUUUAUGGAUUUACUCUUCAUCCUUCUCCUCAAGGGAUCCGCUCCAUAAGGUCAGGUGCCAUCUGUUUGUGUCGCUGCUCUGCGCCUCAUGUCUGGCACAGUACCUGUUGCAUUGUAGAUGCUCACAAAGGAUUCAGUUGGAUCACAGAACCCUGGGCCCUGUGUGCUGGGAGGGUCUGUCUAGUCUAGCCCCAACCUGCUGUUCCAGUCAGGCCCUCCUCCUGCCCCUCCAGCCCACUUCCCAGACAUUUUGCUUUUGACAAAUGACUCUGGUGACAGACCAUGUUCCCCCCCCCAAGACGCACAGUGGCUCACGUUAUCCUUGAAAGGGCAGUGUAACCCAGUGGUGACAAGCUGAGAGGUACAGAGAUCCCAGAGCUGGGUUCAGUGGGGUCUGGCUUGCCCUGUGGCAUCCCCCCAGCAGGCCCUGUGCCUCUCAGUUUCCUCCCCUGGAAAACGGGGACAGGAUCCCAGCCUCUCAGAGUUACUGUCAGUGCCUGGCAUGCAGUAGGUGCUCAACAAAGGGUAGCUGUGGGCCGGGCGUGGUGGCUCAUACCUGGAAUCCCAGCACUUUGGGAAGCUGAGAUGGGUGGAUCACUUGAGGCCAGGAGUUUGAGACCAGCCUGGCCAAUAUGCAGAAACCCCGUCUCUACUAAAAAUACAAAAAUUAGCCUGGCAUGGUGGUACACACUGUACUCCCAGUUACUCAGGAGUCUGAGGCUGAAGACUCACUUGAAUCUGGGAGGCAGAGGUUGUGGUGGGCUGGGGUAGCACCAUUGCACUAUAGCCUUGGCAACACGGCAAGACUGUUUCAAAAAAAAAAAAACCAAAACAACAAAAGGUAGGUGUGGUCAAUUCUCCUUGGAUGUCUCAUCUUCCCUGUGAGGCUGGCCUGAGCCCAGUCCUCCUGCAGGAAGCCUUCCCUGACUACCCCCACCCUCGGGCUGCCUCUCCCCAGGACAGACUUGCCGAAUGGCUCCCUUGCCGCUUGCACAGUCUGUUUGGGAUCGGUGAAUUGUCUGUCGGGCACCCGUGGCCCAUAUCCAGUGUCUCAGCCGUUGGCCAUGUUUUAAUGAGGGCUUCUCUUUGUAAAUAAGGAAGCAGGCCUUUGAUCUCCCUUCUGGAAUCGGCUGUCUUUGAUAGACUGCACUGAUGAACUGCUGGGCAUCCGGCUAGAAUUCAAGUCUGGGCACUGCUGCCACUCGCUGCCAAGCCCUGGGCAGCUGCCUCCCUUCUCCCAGCCUCAGUUUCCCCCUAAGUAGAAAGGGCCUGGGUAGAGCAGACAGACUGUGGUCCAUAAAUUAGCUGAUCCGUGAAUUCAGCAAAAUGCCACCUUUGUGCCAGUUUCUUUGGUAACCUCCCUUUCUUUAAUUUCAAGCACAAAUCAGCCAUUAGCUCCAGUUCCCUAAUGAGGGACAAUGAGGCCAGGAGAGGUGAAGUGACUUCUCCACACCCUCAUUCAGGCAUGAAGCCGAGGGGACAUUAGAACCCAGGUUGUCUGACUCCUGGUCUCGCUUAUUUCUGUGACUUCUCACCCUCAAAGGUCAAGGUUAACAGAGAAGGCUGUGGUCUACUGGUGAUGUCUUGGAGUCAGUCCAAGUCAGGACCCCCAGGCCGGCUCUGCCCUGCUCUGCUCUGGGAAGGCGGAGUCCUAGAACUUUGGGCAGGUCAGACACUUGGAGGAAGAACCAUUUUCAAAGGUGAAUGCAGUUCUGAUGCAAUCCCUCAAAUGGCUCCGUGGGUCUGGUUCUUGGGGACAGGGCAUUCGUGGAGGCCAGGUUCUUCACAUGUGCCCGCUGCACACACAGAGGAAGACUCGGAGAAGAAAAGGAGGUGACAGGGCUGGAACUGACCCCAAACCGUGGCCUACCUUGCACUAACUGUGCCCCCAUAUCCCAGAGGGGGGCCUGUCAGUGGGGGAAGCCCCCAGCAGGUACCUGGUACCUGGAAGGGAACAGAAACAGACUCAAAGCCACACAGUCAGGUUCCCUGGGAACAGUGUCAUGAGCAAGAGUUGGGGUAGGGAGCAGCAGCUGGAAAGGGAAAGCCGGUGACUAUGAGAGAGAUUAAAAGAGACAUUAAGAUUAAAAAAAAGAGAAAGAGGCCAGGUGCGGUGGUUCAAGCCUGUAAUCCCAGCACUUUGGGAGGCUGAGGCGGGUGGAUCACGAGGUCAAGAGAUCGAGACCAUCCUGGUCAACAUGGUGAAACCCCAUCUCUACUAAAAAAUACAAAAAAUUAGCCGGGCAUGGUGGCGCCUGCCUGUAAUCCCAGCUACUCAGGAAGCGGAGGCAAGAGAAUUGCCUGAACCCAGGAGGCGGAGGUGGCAGUGAGCCGAGACUGCACCAUUGCACUCCAGCCUGGGUAACAAGAGCGAAACUCCGUCUCAAAAAAAAAAAAAAAAAAAGAGAAAGAGAGGGAAAGCAGGGGGAAAAGAUGGAGGGAAGGAGGGAGGGAGAGAGGGAGGACGGGAAGAGAAAAGAGAGAAUGAAUGAUGGAUUCAUUUUCAUGUUCUGGGCAGAACCCAUUUCCAGAUCUAGGGGAAUGCUGAAGGCAGAGUGGCUAACUCAGUCGGCUUGACAGGAGCAUGAGGACCCUCGCCUCCUUGUCCCCUGCCCUUGUCCCCUGCGUGGCCCCUUGGUGGACAAGGGAUGGAGCCAGGCUGGUGGGAUUCAGGGCCAGAUCCCAUUGAAGGAUGGAAGAGGGUGACUGGGGGCCUGGGCCACGCUCAGGAGCUGAGUGAUCUUUAGUGAGCCACGGCCCCUCUCCUGAGCCUCAGGCUCCAAAUCUGCAAAAUGACCAGAGCUGGGGCUGCGUGCAUCUGUGUGUGUGAGGGUGUGUGUAUCUGUGUGUGUGUGCAUGUGUGUAUGUGUGUGUCUCUUUAGUGGGCUGUGCAUAUAUGUGGUUAUGUGUAUGGGUGUGUGAGUGUAUGUGUGUACAUGUGUAUGUGCAUGUAUGUGUGGUUUGUGUGUGUGUCUGUGUAUGUGUGUGUCUCUGUAGGGGGAUUUGUAUGUGGUUGUGUGUGUAUGUGUGUAUAUGUAUGUGCAUUUGUGUAUUUGUAUUUGGUGUGUGUGAGUUUAUGUCUGUGUGUAUGUGUGUGUGCAUGUCUAUAUGUGUGUGUCUCUGUGGGGGGAUGUGUGUGUGUAUGUGUGUCAUUGUGUGUGAGAGUGUGUAUUUGUAUGUUUGUGCAUGUGUGUAUGUAUGUAUAUGUAUCUGCAUGUGUGUAUGUAUUUGAGUGUGGUGUGUGUGUGUAUGUGUGUGAAUGAUGUCUGUGUGCAAAUGUGUAUGUGUGUCUGUGUGUGGGGUGUGCAUGCAUGUGUGUGGUUAUGUGUGUAUGUAUUUUUGUAUGUGCAUAUGUGUGUGUGCACACGUGUGUGUGUGUGUGUGUGUAAGAGGCAGCAUUUGGGCUCUGAUGAUCUGGGUGCCACCACGCCUGGACUCUAGGCCUCUCAUGAGUGGAAGGUGGGGCAGCUGGUCAAUAGCCCCUUCCCUGGGUGGAUCCAGCCUGGGGCCCAGCUGCGCCUCCCACACAUCCAAUGCCUCCCUCCCACUCUCUCCAGCUCCUUCCUUACUAUGCCAAGCCAACCCCGACAGUGGCAAAAAGAAAUGUUUGGGGCCAGCCAUUAGUGGGCGGAAAGUCUUUGUUUCCUUCUCUUCCUGUUCUGGGAUCCAUCCUGCUCUGGGCCAAGUAAUACCAAUAGCAGCUGCCGUCAUUGGGUGCCUACUGUGUGCCGGGCCUGGAGCUAAAGUCUUGAGAAGAUCGUCUCAUCAAACCCUCAGAACUACGCCCUUCACAGAUCCCCACUUUCCAAAGGAGGAAAUCGAGGCUCUGGGGGUGAAGUGACUGGUCUGAGGGCCCACGCUGGGGGCUGGACAAGCCCAAGGCUGCACAUGAGUGAUGGCGUUGUGACCAGAAUGCAGGGGAUGGUAGAGCCAGGACUCUGUCGAGUCUGUGCUCUUGGGCUAUCACCACCACCUGCCUGUGACCUCAAUUUCCCCAUCUGUAAGAGUUGCAGUAAGAAACGGAGAUGGUUGUAGAACCCCUGGCAUGGAAAGGCUCAGCAAACUUCAGCUAUGCGGAAGGAAGAGUUCAGAUUCAGCCUCCAGCUGAGACCCAGCUCUGCUACAUCACAGCUGGGUGAUCCUGGGCAAGUGACUUAGUCUUGCUGAGCCACUUUGUAAAAUAGGGUGCUUCAAGAAAAAGACAGUGGUGCGUAGAAAGGGCCCCACUGAGCGCCUGGCACAGGAGGAAGGACCUUUGAUCCCAGCCCUUCCCCGCCUCUCCCCUUCCCCUUGUACGGGUGUGGGAAGGGAAGGCCUGGGACAGGAGGGGAUUAGCCCUGGGUCCCCCUCCUGGGGCGGUGCUUUUAACCACGGUCUCCCCCGGGGAUCAGCCCUGCCCCCUCCCAGGCCCCCGGCCAGGCCUGUGUUUGCCGUGGGGAUCUGGGCUGCCCGGGCCCCUGCCUUUCAUUCCUGGGCAGCUUUUGCUUGCUUUGCUCGCGGUGGGGCCAGGCGGCGGUUAUGCGGCUCCCCAGGAGCAGAUGGGCCGCAGUGGGAAAGCGCGGCGGCUGUCCCUAAGAGGAUUGGCGGCCUUUCUUCCCACCCUUUGUGACGCUCCCCGAGGGCCGCCGAUGCACAGACCACAAAGGCCGCUUGUUUGGCCGCCUCUGGGGACGCAGGGGUCACAGCUGACAGCGGCGCCCUUGGAGACAGUGGCACCCCAGUGAGCGGGAGAGCCGGGAGCACCUGGAGCACCCACGCUGGGGAAAGACGGGGGUCCUUGUCUCCUCCCCGCCUCCCAGGAUUUCACAGGAAGCACUCUCGCAUGCAGGAGAGGUGCUGGGAGUGGGGGCACUGCUGGGGCAGUCCUUUAGAUGGUGCCAGUCCAGAGAGGAUCUGUCUGCAAGCCCCCAUCACCUCACUGAGAGCUCGAGGCCUAGACAGGUCUAUGACUCAGGCAAGUCACACAGCAAGUGAGUCACCAGCCAGGACUCACUCCUAGGGUCCCCAGCGCCCAGCGAAGCUCCUGCUCUCUGGGAACUGUGGUCUCUCUUUCCCCCCUGUUCAUUCCACCUGGCUGUGAGGACCAGGAGAAUCUGAGAAGGUUGAGGGCCUCGACAGUGGAGGGACUUAGCCAGUUGAAGCCUCGGGACCAAAGAACAGUCCCAGAAGGGGCAUCUGACGAUAAUUUGAGGCCAAGCUCUGCGUGAGAGGUGGAAGCUGGGAGAGGGAAAGGACAGGAAUUAUGUCACCCAGGAGCUUAUUUUAAAAAGUUGUUGCGUGGCUGCUGUGCGGUGGGUACUGAGAAAACCAGGAGAAAUAAGAUCAGCCUCGGCGCCUGGGGCCCUCUUGGUACUAGGAAGACAGAUUUGCAGGCAACAGGCUCAGGACCAGUUUCUCAGCUUUGAGAAAGUGACAUUUGGGGUAGACAACUCCUGGUUGGGGGGUGUCCUGUGUAUUACAGGAGGUGUUACAACAUCCCUGGUCUCCACCACCAGAUCUCAGCAGCACCCCUGUGACCCCAAAAAGGUCUCCAGACAUUGCCAAAUGUCCCCUGGCAGGGAGACAACCCCUGCUGAGAAUCAUUGGUCUAGACCAUAAUCCUGUUCAUUCAUUCAGCACGUGUCAAGUUCAUUUGCAUUUACCUGUUUGAGGAGAGAGUGAAAUAGUCCAUGUGGGGAUGACAUGGGGUGAGGGUUACCAGGAGGCUCCUGAAGAGGUGACAUUUGAGCCAGGCCUAGAAGGAGAUGCUGGGACAGAACAGAUGGGAAAGAUGACACUGCAGGCUGAAUAGGCGAAGUGGACAUUCUGGAUUCAUUCCCCAGAGAUUCUCCAAGGGCUUGCUGUACACAGGGCAUCUCUGGUGUUACCAGUGAAAUGAGAAAGGCCCUUUCUAGCAUGCGGAGGCUUGGGGCUUGCCAAGAAAGGUCUGCACCUGGUCCAGAGGCCAUGGAGGGAUUGUGAAGUGCUUCCCAGGGAAGAGGAGAUGGGGGUCACAUCUUGAGGCUGAGCAGGCAGGAGCUGGGCAGGCAGAGGAGGUAGCCCCUGCUCAGGCUGCAGCACUUGGGAGCCCAGGGCUUUGGGUGAACUGCAAGGAGGCAGUUGGCGCAGGGGCAUGGCAUUCUGGCAGUGGAGAUGGGGAGAUGAGGCUGGAGUGGGAGACAGGGAGAGGACCUAGUUGAAUCGCCGGGGUUUGAUACUGAGUCACUGGGGAGUCAUGGAGGGCAUUUGAGUAUAGGUAUAUUUUUGUUUUAGAAAAAUCACUGCCAGCCAGGUGCAGUGGCUCAUGCCUGUAAUCCCAGCACUUUGGGAGUGGGCGGAUCACAAGAUCAGGAGUUCAAAACCAGCCUGGUCAAUAUAGUGAAACCCCAUCUCUACUAGAAAUACAAAAAUUAGCCAGGUAUGGUGGCAGGAGCCUGUAGUCCCAGCUACUCCAGAGGCUGAGGCAGUAGAAUCGCUUGAACCUGGGAGGCAGAGGUUGCAGUGAGCCAAGAUUGUACUUCCAGCCUGAGCAACAGAGUGAGACUCCAUCUCACAAAAAAGAAAAAGAAAGAAAGAAAAAGAAAAAUCACUGUGGCAGCGGUGAGAAAAUUGGUUGGAGGGGAACAGGCAAGAGGCAGGGGGACGGUUGCAGUGGUUCAGGAAUGAGAUCAGGGUGGCCGUGCACAGGGAAUGCAGGGGACGAUCCCACAGACACCCAGGAGGUGAAGGCGUCAGGAUAUGGGCUUGAAUGUGGUGUUGAGGGAGCUGGAGGAGGCAUCUGGGCAGAUGAUGGGUGUCUAGCAGUGCAGCACUAAAAUGAAUCACCAGAUUAGAAAUAAGCACAUUGGGAGGCGGAGGUGGGCAGAUCACAAGGUCAGGAGUUCAAGACCAGCCUCGCUGACAUAGUGAAACCCCAUCUCUACCUAAAAUACAAGAAAAAAAAAAAAAAAAUUAGCCAGGUGUGGUGGUACAUGUCUGUAAUCCCAGCUACUUGGGAGACUGAGGCAAGAGAAUCGCUUGAACCCAGGAGGUGGAGGUUACAGUGAGCCAAGAUUGUGCCACUGCACUCCAGCCUUGGCAGUAGAGCAAGACUCUAUCUCAAAAACAAAGAAAGAAAGACAGACUAGAUGAAAGACCAAGUAGAGAAAGAUAUGUCUGUGGGUCUCAAUAUGAAUUGUUUUUGAAACUUUUCCUAUGUUCAUCUUUAAAUAUUGAUAACCAACAUUUUUACAGAGCUUAAUGCUUUGUGCCGGGCACUGUUCUAAAUGCUUCGUGUACAUUUGCUCAUUGAGUCUUUAAAACGAUGCAUUGAGGGAGUUGCUUUCUAUCAUCUCCAUUUUGCAGAUAAAGAAACCGACGCACAGAGAAGUAACUUGUCCAAGGUUAAACAGCUAGCAAGCGGCUGAGCCAGGAUUUGAAGUCAGGCCAUUUGACUCUAGAGUUUUGCUAUCUGCUAUGCUCUACCACCAAAACAUAGAGUUUGUUUAAAGCCUGGUUCACUUCAGCUAUUUUAAAGUCCUGUAGUUUUAAUAUAAAAAUAAGAAAGCAAUGGCAUUUUAUAGAUUAUGGUGGUGGGAUGUAAAAGUGGAAAAUCAUUUUCUGGAAUCUCAGGGAAUACUUGGACAGUGACUACCGCCACCUGGUGGCAGUGUACCCCAAGUAGAGCCAUGACAAAGGCUAACCCCAGUUUCUUUCAGUAUUACAUUUAUGAAACUCCAGGCCAGGGUGACAAGAACUUACUAGUAAUAUGUACACUACUAUUACAAAAAAUGUGUCCUCUACGGGGUUGCAGGAAGACAGAGAGGAGGCUCCCGAUGCCCAGGCCGCGGGUGUAUGCACUGAGGAACUAUGAUUGUGGGGACUCAGGGUGAGGCUGCCACGUCCUGUCCAGACCCUCUCACCAGUUCCCUAGACGACCAGCAUUAGGCAUUUCUGAAACAGCUGGUGGGAGCUAGGGGUGGGAUGGGGUGUUACUCUGCAAACAUGGGCUGUACCCAUGACCCCGACCUUCUAAUCCCAGGGCUUAACUGACUUCAUUAACUCCAGGGGGGCUUGAGAGAGAGCACUCCCCAAAAUCAUACUCUGAUAAGCCACACUCAGAAAGGUCCCAUUCCUGGGGGCUGUGCCGGAUAACCUCCUGCCUAAGGCAGGGGACUGGAGGUGAUGCCCCUUGGCUGCAAACCCUCUGCUGACCAGUGAAAGGGCUGGGUCUGCCCCACCCCCUGCCUGCCAAGGGGCAGUGAGGGAGAAAACUGGGUGAAAGCAGAGCAUGCCGGGUAGCUUGGCCAGGAGCUGAAUGGUCCAGCCUCCCACCUCCCACUGUGGUUGCCAUGGCAACUGAGGAGGGGAGGGAGGAGGGGAGGAGAGACCACUCGUCCCUCAGACAAUGGGAACCUAUUCCAGGUCACCCUUGGCCUUUUCCUGAGGGACUUGGGGCAGUCAGCAGUUCUGGGCUCUUUGUACCCUGCUUGUACCCUGCAGCAUGGGGAUUUGGGGGCAUAGUCCUCGGCUCAGGCCAGGUUGGAGGGCCCCAGAAUCAGGGACAGAAUCCUUGCCCUUGGAAUAUCCCAACCCCACCAGAGCCUUCCCCUUCUUGGGCUCCCAGAUCCCCCAAGAUGAAGUUGGGUUCAUUUUCCAGGGCCCCUCCCCCAUGGAAGAGCGUGACCUUCUGUUGCGAAGUGAGCGGUGGGCACAGGGAGGAGGCAGCCGCCACUUUGGGGACAGGCCAAGUAUUUUAUGAGUAAUUUAAUAUCUGGAGCGCGAACCACUGAGCAGAGAACUCAUCAGCUGCCCGGAGCGAGAGCUGGUCUGGUCCUCAUAACGUAGGGGCAGGGGUGGCAGGCUGACAGGGAUGGACCCGGGGCCACAGAGAAGUUAACCCUUUCAGGGUCCUGGAAUGAAGCUAGGAAGGGGCGUGGCCCCAUGCGCCAGAUCCUGAGCCAUGCAGUUUGGAUGGCUUGAGCCCUUCGAACCUGGGAGGGAAGGGGUAGCCUGUUGAAAAGGCACUGGCUUUGAGACCAGGGGACCUGAGUUUGCUUCUUGCUAGCGAUGUGACCCUGGACUAGUGACUCCACCUGUGUGAGCCUCGGUUCCUUAUGCAUGAAAUGGGGAUGACAAUGAUACCUGUGCCAUUCCUGCCACAGUAAGAAGUGGGCAAGAAUGAAUACAAAGUACUUAAUACAGUGCCCGGGACACAGCAGGCCCUCCGUCAAAGGACCUGCCCUCAUGACUCUGAUGUGUGUGAAGCUUGCCAGAGCCCCUUGAAGCCCCUUGAGGCCCCCAGAGCCCCUCAAAGCCCCCAGACAUCCUUCAUAGGUUCUCAUAACGCAGGAGCAGGGGUGGCAGGCUGACAGGGAUGGCUGUCAGCCCCACCACCCUGCUGUGUCCUGGACUCUUUUUCUUGUCUCAGGACCACCUGACAGAUGUUCAUACCAAUCUGCACAAGACAUAGCUGUGUCCUGGCUCCUGACACUUGCUUUAGCCUCUACUCAGAGUUUCUCAGAAGGGGUCCUGUCCAGCCUUGUGGUGUGGAAGGGGCCUGGGCCCUGGGUCAGCCUCCCAGCUCAGCCACAGUCCGGCUCUGUGGCCAAGGGCAGGUGCUUCGCUUCUCUGGACCUCCAUUUCUUCCUCUAUGAAAGGUGAGUAACAAAGUGCUGUCCUCAUAAGAAUGCUGUCCCAGUUAAUGAAGACCAUCCUGUAAGGAAGCCAGCACAAUGCCUGUUACGUAGUCGGUACUCAUUAAAAGGUGCUCUUCAUCACUGAUACUUCAAAAGAGUGGCUUCGGUGCCAUGUUUUAGUCCAUGUCCCAGCUCUGCCGCAAACUAGCUGUGAGGACUUGGCCAAAUUACUUUCCUAUACCUCAGUUUCCGUAUUUGUGAAAUGGGCAUCACAAUAGUACCUGCCUCAUGGGGAUUAAACAAGUGAAGAUGUGUAAAAUGUUUGGAACAAAGGAGGCGCGUGGCUGGUGUGAGGCUGUUCUCUUCUUCUGAGGUUCAGAAGCAAUUUGUGAAAAGGCAUCUCUGGUCCCCUCCGCUGCCCUCAUCCUGCCACUGGGCCUGUGGCAGGUCUCCCAGGCUGUCCUUUGUUGCAGCAUGGUGAGCUCACUCCCUGGGUUUAUCUUUCUGCCUUCCUGGGGGACUCCAACAGCAUCAAGGGCUUCUCCUGCCAUAGGAAUGGUAGGAGCACUGGUCUCAGAGUCACCCACGCACUGUGGUGACCUCAGGUACGUAACUCCAGAAUGGCUUCUUCUGGGAUUCUGCCCUUCGUCAAUCAUUACAUCUCCCUUUUCUACACAGCCUAGUCCUGGCCAUUGUUUCACUUCCUGGAAAAAAAUUCCAUAUGCCUGAGCUGAGAUGAGCCAGAGACCAUCUGGCGCAGUCCCCUCAUUUUACAGAUUGGGAAGCUGAGGCCAGGCUUUGGCUUCAUCACAGUGCUCCAAAAGGAAGAGCCCAGCCAGCCCAGGGAUUUUACGGAUGAGGAAACCCAGUUUGAGAGUGGAGUCACUUAUCUGAGAUCACACAGUGUCAGCGACUCUGGGACCAGUGCUCCUGUAGCUUCCUUUGCCCCCAGUGACCUUCUUUCAGUGUGGUUUCACUGAGGAUGUCAAAGUCUCUCUCCACUUGGAUCCAAGGAAAGGGCCAUUCAUUGAGCACCUGGGUCUACAAAGUGGGCAGCUCCAUGCCCUAGUGUGCCCCUUUUUGUGAUUUCCUGGUUGCAGUGAGUGCCUGCUCUGGUUGACAGACCCCAGCUUACAAAGGUGAUCUUGAUCUUUUUUUCUUAGAGAUGGGGUUUCACCAUGUUAUUUAGGAGGCUGGUCUCGAACUCCUGACCUCCUGACUCCACCCACCUCGGCCUCUCAAAGUGCUAGGAUUAUAGGCGUGAGCCACCAUGCCCGACCGAUCUUUCUCUUCUUAAGAAUCCGUGGGCACAUAUAUCAUUGUCCCAUUUUGUAGAUGAGGAAACCGAGGCUCUGAAGGGGAAAAGUGACUCCAGGUCACUCGAUGAUCAGGCCCAGCCUGGCUGGGGGCUCACUGGGAAACUGUUCUCCCCUCCCCAUGACUGGCAGGACCUGCACAGGCUUCCACCACUGUGAACUCACUCUGUACAAAGCCAUCAUGGCCUAAGCUGUAAAACAGAAGGAAUGAAGACAUAUUUUUCAGGUCUCCUUCCCCGGAAACCAGCUGGGGCUGGGGCCCAGCGAGGCUGACAUUUACGUACUGUCUUUAAUCACAGUAGCUGACGUAUUCCAAACACGGUCUGGAGACACCUUGUUAACGAGGGCCCAGCUGUCUCUCCUGUGGCUACCUGCGCUGGCAGGGGAAGCCUGCCCCGAGAUGUGCUAACUAAGGCCUGGAGCCUGCAGACAGGCCCACCCUGUGGCAUGGCUCACGUGUGGCCGCUGUAAGCUCUGCAGAAGCCAGGGCUUGUUGGAGUGGCUGAAAUCCAGGCAGGCGGGAGAAGGAAAUAUCUGUCCUGAGGUGGGCACAGGAUUUUUGUCUCUUGGUAGCUCAUCUGAACCUCACAACAACCAAUAGUCACAUUUCACAGGUAAGGAUGCUAACAUUUGUUGAGGACCUACUAUGUGUCUGGGAAGGUGUGUGUUUCUUUUGUUUUGUUUGAAGACAUGGUCUUGCUCUGUUGCCUGGGCUGGAGUGCAGUGAUGUGAUCAUGGCUCCCUGUAGCCUCAACCUCCUGGGCUCAAUAGAGCCUCCCACCUCAGCCUCCUGAGUAGCUGGGACAUAGGUGUGUGCCAUCACACCCAGCUAAUUUUUUUAUGUUUUGUAAAUACAGGGUCCCACUAUGUUGCCCAGGCUGGUCUUGAACUCCUGGGCUCAAGGGAUGCACCUGCUUUAGCCUCCGGAGGUGCUGGAAUUACAGGUAUGAGCCACUGUGCCCAGCCUUGUGUUUCUUUAUAACAGCCAGAUUUUAUUUUGGGCCUACUAUGUACCAGGCGGGUGCUUUACAUACACUAGCUCAUGGAAUGCUCGUAACAAUAGUAGCCGAUAGAGUUUCAUUUUGCAACCAAGGAUAUGAAAGCUCAGAGUCGAGGCGACUUGCUUGUCAAGGUCAUCCAGCUAGAAAGUGGCAAAGCGGGAAUGAACCUGGUGGGGCUGAAGCCAGAAGCCAAUGAGGGAAACUGCACGCUGCAUCUGGCACGGCGCCUGUCACACUGGAGCUGCCUGCCGCAUCAGGCUUUGCUUCUUCUGCCUUCUUUUUGCUGGUUGGCUUGUUUACAUCCUCUCUUGCUCCACAGAUGCUGUAAGGCAGAUUCUAGGAAGAAAUAUGUGAUGUGGCUGGUGCCGUGGCUCACACCUGUAAUCUCAGCACUUUGGGAAGCCGAGUCAGGCAGAUUGCUUGAGCUCAGGAGUUUGAGAUCAGCCUGGGCAACAUGGCAAAACCCCAUCUCUACAAAAAUAAGCCAAGCAUGGCAGUGUGCACCUGUGGUGUCAGCUACUUGGGAGGCUGAGGAAGGAAGAUCACUUGAGCCAAGAGGUUGAGGCUGCAGUGAGGCACGAUCACGCCAUUGCACUCCAGCCUGGACAACAGAGCAAGACCCUGUCUCAAAAGAAAAAAAAGUGAUGAGAAGACAUAAAUGAGAAGAAUCUGCAAGAGCAAUGGGAAAAUGGGGAGGGGAAGGCAGGAAGACGUAAACAGAAAUGAGGAGGGAGGCUUCAAAGAAAGUACGGGCCAGGCAUGGUGUCUCAUGCCUGUAAUCCCAGCACUUUGGGAGAGGGAGGUGGGCAGAUCACUCGAGGAGCUCCAGACCAGCCUGGUCAACAUGGUGAAACUCCGUCUCUACUAAAAAUACAAAAAUUAGCCAGGUAUGGUGGCACACACCUACAAUCCCAGCCACUCAGAAGGCUGAGGCAAGAGAAUUGCUUGAGCCCAGGAGGCGGAGGUUGCAGUGAGCCGAGAUUGCACCACUGCACUCCAGCCUGGGAGCCAGAGUGAGACUCUGUCUCAAAAAAGAAAGAAAGAAAGAAAGUGAGGUGCGUAAAGCCCUGCACACUCUCCGAGCCCUGGUGGGUCUCUCUGGAGUUCUCGGGCCUCAGUUGUCCACUGGGUCCUUGCCUCUGAACAUUGGUGACGACGCCCACAUCAGGGGCUGCUGUGAGGAUGUCAGGGGCAUCUCUGUACGACGGGCACGUUCACGAUGCUCAGUUUGGCUUCUCCCUGCCUGCUUUCCUUUCCUUCCAGAUGCCAAGCCUUCCCCUGGAAAUGUCCCAAGGGCCGAGGAAGCAUUAUUAUUAUAGGCCCUAUCUUUCCAGGCAGGACACAAUUUUGACAGUCCUUCCAUCUUGCCUUUCUUCCUUCUGUUUGGCAGCUAUUCACUGAGCAUCUAUUAUGUAUAUCUGUCUCCAGGCCCUACAGUCUCUGGAGUCGAUCAGUCAAUUAAUUAAUUAACCAAUAUGGCCAUGCUUUCAUGCAUUCAUUUGAUAAACAUGAAUCUUCCAGGCUCUCUGGGCUGUGAGGUGUCAGUUUCAGCCUUCUUUGUUCCCUCCUGGGUCCUGGCUGUGUUCUGUGUAGAUGAGGAUUCUGGAUAAGUGGGGUGCAAUCGAGGGACGGGCUGCUGCUUUCUCACUGGUCAGUGACCCUGUCCUUAUUCGUUGCCUCUUUCUUGAGGGCAUCACCAAGCUCCCCUCAUUCCUAAUAAGUAGGCUUGGCGUGGGCUUAAGACUGUAUCACAAGCUCCCCGGUUGAGUCUGAUGUAACCUCCUCUUUCUGUGGGAUAGUCUGAGGCUCAGAGAGGGGUAGUGACUUGUCUGAAGUCACACAGUAAGUCAGGUUCCGAGGCCAGCCUAAAACUGGGAGCUCUUAACUUCCCAUCCAGGGUGCCUCCUGCUCUGCCAGGUCCCCUCACUUCCGGUGUCCCCCGGAGGGGGGACUGCUAAGUUUCUUGAGCAAACACCUGCUUUUCUCCUGCAUCUGGUCAACAGGGUUGUCUAUGAGAAUGCCUCCUGGCUAUGUGCAAAAAUAAAUGCAGCUUGCAGCUUUCUCUGAAGGAGGGCGUGUGUGUGUGUGUGUGUGUGUGUGUGUGUGUGUGUGUGUGUGCGUUUGUAUGUGUUGUUUAAGGCAGGGCACCUGGUGCCCCGUGAUUAGCAGGAGACAAGAAAGGCGAGGACAUGGAGGAGAAACCAGGAGGGAGACCACAGUGCUCAGCAUUGGGGAAAUGAUGAUCCACCUUUUGUCCUUCUCUCUGCCUGACCUUGAGCUCCCGCAUCCUCUCCAUCACAAUAUCAUCACCAUGAGCACGACAGCGACAAUACCAGUAACAUGUUAAUGACAGAGCACUUGCCGUCUACCAGUCCCUAGGCUAACCAGAGCCUGUGGAUGACAGAACUCAACAUCAUCACAAGUCAAAAUGCCGAACCACUGCUCCUGACCCGGGCUACUUAAAGCAUGGUGCCAGCCAGGCAGCAUCAAUGCCUCCCAGCAACUUAUUAGAAAAGCAAAUUCUCAGGCCUCUACCCCAGACCUACUGAAUUCGAAUCUGCAUUUUGGCAAGACCCAGGUUGUAAUCUGGCAGAUGAACUUACAGGAAGGAGCACUGGCUUGGGAGUCGGGCAGCAUCUUCCUGCUCCUCUUCUCCAAGGCCAUCCUUGUCUUGGUGUCUGCUCCCCCCUGGUGGCAGCAAGCGUGGAGCAGCCUGGAGCUUUGACAGCCCAUCCCUCCUUUUGGAAACACACUUCAAAGCCUUCAAAGGGUACAUAUCCUUUCACCUGGGGAGUCCACAUCUAGGCGCUUCACCCAGGAAAAGCGUCAAGGAUCUGCAUCAGGACAUCACUGCUGCAUUGUUUAUUUGUAUGGGGGUAAAACAGGAGACCCCUGUACAAAUAAACAGGAGACCAGGCAGUCACUUGACGGGAGCCACACAGCUAGUGAGAAGCCCAGGCAGGAUUUGAACUCAGGUCUAAGUUAAGAGCUAGUGCCUCAACUGCCACCUUUACCGCCCCUCAGGGAUCCUCCUGUCUGCAGUGACAGAGCAGCAGCUCUGGAACCGACCUGCCAGGCGUGGAACCUGGUUCCGUUACUUAACUAAUUGCAGAAUGCUGGGCAAGUCAUUGACUUGCUCUGCCUCAGUGUUCCCAUCUGUAAAAGGGGAGCAUGAUUGCAAAGAUUACAUGGGUUAACAUGAAUACACAGAACCGUGCAUGCUUCGAGCUGUUGUUACCACUGCUUAUUACGCCCCCACCUUCCUGCAUCUUGGCCGUUUCCUCUCCUUUCCUCUCUCAACCAACUCAAACCAUUGUGGGACACCGGGAGGGGCAUGUGGGUCAGUAUCAAUGGGCGUGAAGAAGCCAGGACUCACACUGUAGUCAGCAGGGAGUCAGGCAGCACUGGGCCCAACUUCCCGCUCCUCUUCUCCAAGGUUAGAGCCACCUUUGGGUCUAGAGCAGGUUGGCAAACUAUAACCCAUAGGCUAAAGAACCUGUCUCAAAAAUAAAUAUAAAUAAAUAAAUGUGAAGAGUCGAGGCACAUGCACGUCUGUAUGGAGCAAUGCAUGUUGGACUGUGAUGGGCAUGGCUGGAUGCACGGUCAGAGCUGGGAUUUCUGGCAGGUCUGGAAGCUCCUGGGAGAGCCCAACAAGGGCACUGUUAUGAGUGUCCUGACUGUGGGGGGACAGGGAUCUGGUGGAGGAC